CUCAAUCAUUUUCUCAAUCACUCAAUCAUUCCCGUUUGCCAUCGCUCAAUAUUUGAAUCGAAUUUGUAGCAUCUAAUUUAUUUCAAGAUUCGCUUUGCAGCGUUAGCAGUUGCAGCCACAAAAUUCCAGUUACAUGCAACAUUAUAAAAUCGUUUACCGCAGUGUUAACCGAAACAACAAUGAACCGAAUAUUUGUGUGCAUCUAUGUGCGCGUGUGUGUUUGCGCAUGCGAGCAAGCAUUUGUGUGUAUAUUAUGUGGUCGAAAUGGCAGAUAAGCAAAAACAUUUGUACGUAACAAAACCAUCAGUCACGUCGAGCAUACACCGAACUAAGCAUUUUAUUGAAUAAAUUAGUUUUUAAGCUUCGAAGCACAAAAAAAAAAUUGCAUAUCUUUAUUUGCAUGCAUAUGUAAGUACAUGUGUCAUGUAACAAUUCCUAAACCAAUAAAAAUUGGCUUGGCUGUAAAAUUAAACAAAUAUUUGUUAUCAACUACGAGGUUGGUUUAGAAUUGGCUUGCUAUACCAUUAAAACAGAGCUCAUUGAAAGACUCUUUUAUCUAGUUGGUUUGGAUCUGCUGCAUAUACAUAAAUGUAUGUAUACAAUACGCUGCUGCAACAACUGCCCAUAGAUGAGUUCAUUCGGAACGUAGCAGCAAAUUCUGCUUUCAGGAUAAAGGAACUGGAAAGAAUAUAGACAUAGCACCAUCCUGAAUCAGCUUAAUAGUAAAUCAAGGUUAGAUUUCAAGGUAGUAGGCAAAGCUAGUGGCCUCUUCAGACGUAUCCGAGGCGUAGUUAAUGCUAUGCCCAAUGAGCAAGAUCAAAAGACAGCUUUAUGUGCAUUUUAUACAAAUAGUUUAGAACAGAUAGAAAACAAUAACUGCAAAUUAACAAAGCAGAUAUGGCCUAAGUAUGGCAAGUAUAGAACCAAGAACUUAUUAAAUAGGUCCAGAAAUUAUAUAUAUAGACCUACAGCGACUAUAACGGAUACUGGCCUUUUGGAGAGCUAGAAGGGAAUAAGGGAAUAAGCUCAGCCCUAUCACAAUCUUGAUACAAAAUACUUGUAACCCAUCAGGCACCAAACCUUAAAUGGUUAUCCACAAAAAGCACAACGGAUGUAAGUAGUUUCAUUGAGAGCACCAAGUGGUUUGAGCGCAACGAUGAAACGCGAUAGCAAAAGCCUAAAUAUCCUACGUUCAAACUCUACAUUACUAGAUAACUUGCUGUGGAAAUAAAAGUCAUUUUUUAAACAGGCUACGGAAAUAUACGGAACAAGUCUGAUGUAGACGAUAUACCCAACAGAAGAGACUUCAAUUAUCUUUAGAUGUCGUAUCUUUUUAUGGAUUUCGUUUUUAAUAAUACGAAGGUUCGCCGCCUGGAACUUUUAAUUGUCUUGGAAGUAACAGUUCCUUUUGGUAUUAUACAAUAAUUAAAUCAACAUAACAACAGACGAAAAAUAAUAUUAUUAUUUACAUAAUCGGAAGGAGACCACGCUGCUACUGAGUAGCAUUUAUGUGUUCAUAAAUUCCAAAGGCUUGAGAUGAAUUCGAGGUUGAAUCUAAAGAAAGCCGGUAAUCAAUGAUCUUUGGAUCAAUAAAUAUCCUGGAAACUCAGGGUUAAAAAAUACGGCCAGGAAGAAAAAGAGAGUAUAGUCCCUCUUUUAAACAGAUCUUAUUGUGAAAUCUAAAAAUCCCUGAGUUGAGGUUAUAAUAAUUAUAGCCAUCAGGCGAAUAUCACGGAUGUUAGUGAUAUUGAGUUACAACUUUUAAGUGGUCCAUUGAAGUGAGAGGCUGGAAACACCACGGUGUUGGAUCGGUCAGGGUUAUUGUUUCAGUUAGUUAAAAGAUCCCAAAUAAUAAAGGGUCCUACAAAUUUGAAACCCGCUCCGGAAGACACGUAUUUUAUGAAGAGCCCUUAGAUGACAGUAAUUCACUCGAAGUUUUAAAAUUUUCUGAAACUAAAUCUAUCAGCUGCUUGAGAAUGGAAGGAUCUGAGAAAAAGUUUUCUGAAAGAAAGGGAAAGCUGUUCGCUGGCAUCGCCAAUGGGAAUACAAAGGUAUCGGCUUAUUCUUAAGAUGGACGGAGCUAUGAAGGAAUCAAAUGCGAAUAUGACUAAAUGACCAAAGAUAUUUAUUCCAGUGUUGGUUUGUGACACUGAACAGUUGUUGACUUUUCCUUAGCAGAUAUGAACGCGAAGAAUGGUAUAAACAGGAGAUCGAUAUUAGAAAGAAAUUUUUAUAGUUUCAUAUUUUAAUUCAGUCGGCAUUUUCUGAAUUCCCAACCCAAUUACGCAUUAAAAUAACUCGCUUACUCAAGCUACAAUACUUCGCCCUUAGAGGCAAUCUUCAAAAUCCAGCUCUUAGGUUGAGCGAGUACAGCUCAAAGAAUUUAAGUUCACUUGAAAAACGUUGCAUUUUAACAGAUUUAUUUAGAAACUUUUGUGGUAAUGCAAUAACAAAUAAAUAAAAGAAAUUAAAGGCAAGAAAAAACUAUUUAAAAUACUUAAA